UCCUGAACCCAGUGUUGUUCCUGGAUGUUUAGGCUGCAGCAGGGUCAGAAGUGCUUUUGUUCUAGCUGCACCCAUUUUUGGAAAGGACAGAUCUGAUGCUUUAGAGUUACACUGAUGAGGCCAGUUACUGAUGCUUUAGUCACAUUGCAUUUGGACUACCGCAACAUUCUCUAUGCAAGGCCGCCCUUGAAGAAUAUCCCGAAAUGUCAACUACCACCAUAGCAUUUAAAGAGAUCCCGAGUUUCUUCCUACAUGAAAAGAUAGGGGGAUACAUAUUCCCAUGAAUAUAUUAGAAAGGAGGAACAGAGAACUGAAGACCAAGAAGAGUUUUAUAUCAAUGAUAAAUGAAUACAUUUAAUAACGUAUCUUCUCACUGCUGGACAGGCUCACCAUAUACACAGCAAGAAAUAUCUACUUCCAGAGGAAACAAGAUACAGGGCUCCACUACAAUACUGCAUAGUACACACCACCAAGAUGGAAACCGACACCAGAACAAUUAUGUAGAAUAUGCAGAGACUUCAAGUAAACUAAUUUUACGAAGAGCAUCUAGAUGUCUGUAGUAACCAGUCUCCCCCUCCACUACAGAAUUAACAGGAAGUGAACUCCUGUCUUGACUGACAGACUGAUGACCUCCAGGGCUCAGCCAAUCAGUCCAACAGGUUGGUGGGACAUGAGAGCUGCAGGGGGUGGGAUUCUGGGAACAAAAAAGGAAGUCAUGGCAGAGAGUACGGACUAGUCUGAAGCCUGUGCAAGGAGGACAUGUGACAAUGGAGUUUUGCUGCAGCAGGAUGACUGUAGAUCCUUGUGAGACACGGUUGAAGGAGGCUUGAUUCUCAUCAGGAGCUUGGUGAGUUCAAGGGAACAGGAUGCCAAGGCUAGGGGCUUCAGAGGUUUAGGGCAGGAGAAAGUGUUUUAGUAAAAAUUUGCGUUAGAAUUUCUGUUUCUUUGGUGUGUGUGCUUUGCAUUGUCCUAAGUAUCUGUUCUUUGCAACUGAGUAACUAAGAGUUCAAAGUGUGCUGCCCUGGAAUAAUGGGGGUGUUUUUGAAGUAUUUGUGUAACCAAUUAAGUAUUUUAAGUGUUUCUAAAAAGCUAAAAGCUUCAGGCAGAACCAGUUUGUAGUAAUUGAAAAUUAUUAUUUUUUGGGUUCUUUACCUUUUACAAGCCUCCAAGGGUGGUUAUUAACUGAGCAGGAAAAAAGCGGGGAGGCAAAAGUGGGAUUUCUCUGGUGCAGAACACAUCUCAAAGAUAGCUUGGCCAAAAAUUAACAAUUAAGAAUUAACUCCAAGUGCAGGCAGAUGCACGGGAGAGAGAGGUUUUAUUCUCUCUCUCUGGCAAGGGGAAGCAAAGUGAAACGGGGAUUGCUAGUCAUCCCAAACCCUUUUGGGAAAGACUUUCUAUAGAGGUGGCUUGGUGGCAGCAAGAUUUACCCUACCAGAAUAUUUUCUUUUUCUUUCUGGGUUUUAGAAAGUUAAAGAUUUUUAAGCCUGCCAGUCUGCUUCUCAUGCAGAGGAAAGGGAUGACUCAGUGCUAGAGUCUUCCCUUGUGCUGCAGAACUGGUUUAGACCAGUAAGUGAGAUUAUCCAUUAACUUUGCCUGAGUCAGGAAAGGUAAUUUUUUCCACUACCCACAAUCCGCUACAGUGUCGAAGGGCAAGCUUGGAAAAUACUUACCAGCUACAUAAUUUGGAAGGAGCACCUGUAGAGCAGCCAGUCUGAUGAGCACUCUCUCUCUCCAAACAUGUCAGGAGGACAUUGGAAUGUCCUUAGACGUCAUGACAGGCACAUUCCCAGCACAACCCCUUUCUAAGUUCAUGAGCCAGUAAGGUAUUAUCCAAACUGGACAUAAAUCUCUUGAAAUUAUCACACAUGUUGAAAACUGACAGUACUGCAAAGAUAUCCCACACAAAUAUCUCACGUUGCAACUGAGGUACAUCAAGUUAAAUCAACACCUCCAUUGCCCCCUCAUGACUGCUCCCCGCAACCAAUAGCAUGAAGACAUAUUGGCUCACAUACUAACGUCACAUGCUCAUAAGAACAUGUGCAACGAGGAAGGAAAUGUUCACCAAUCCCUUUUCUUCUGCUGCCCCCAGUGUUCCCCAAAAGUGUCCACCUGUAGUUUAGGGACUCUUCGGGGACAUUUGGACAGUGAUAUGGUUGAAGAUUCAGACAUGCAGGUGCUCUCCAUGACAGGCCCUAUGGCCAUGCCCCACCCUAACAGCCAGAGAAGCCAAGAAGUACCAGCGCUCUGUCCCUGCACGUCCCCCCUCCAGUACACCCCUGCAUUUGGAGGGCAGGGGGGGGGGAAACAGAGCUAAGUGGGGGGAUUGGCAAAAAUCACUCCUCUCCUCCUUGGACAUGCAUAACAUGCUUAUGCAGGUGCAACAUUAAUCAAUGUGAGCCAUUGUGUUUUUAGUACUCUACUAUGAAAAAAGGAGGUCAAAAACCCAGGAAAUUUAUCAUAUUUAACUAAAAGCGUGAGAAAACAGGUAUGUCCUAAGGGUCUUUUUAAAAAUCAAGGAGCAUGUUAGCUACACACUAGAACAGUUGUUCGAGGGGCAGCUGUGUUAGUCUUUUGCUGCAAAAACAGACCAAUAUAUUUAUUAUAGCAUAAGCUUUUAUGGAUUAAGAUAAAUUGGUAGAAUGCAUCAAGAGAUCUGAUUCUAAUUCAGCAGUCUUGCACUGGAAUCUCCCUUGGAAAUUCCCUUGUUGGUGACCUUUAAGACAGAGAAUGUCCUAGCUGAUUUAACUCUGAUGCUGAUUUAAAAGUCACCAUAAUUCAACAAGUCAACUUCAAAGCGAGACUCCAGCAUGAAACUGCCAAAUUAGAAUUUCCCCCAAAGAUUUUGUUCUAUCAAUUCAGGCUUGAAUCAAGAUAAUAGUUUCCUGCCCCAUUCCAGGGUUUGUUCACUUAGCAUAGAUAGGAAGAUGUUUUAACCCAUUACUGCUGUUGUGAAAUGUCACUGUGCUUUUCCUACAUACAUUUAAGCUUUACAUACUGCUGACAAGACUGUACCUCUUGCAUUUCAUAGCCAUUUCACAUUUCCAUUUUCCACAUCCACUCUCUACCCAUAAUAUAAUAUGUUACAUCUGUUAAUAUAAUAGCUGCAUCAUAUAUAUACACCCACACUAGCCAAUCUAGGAUAGUACUUCAUUCAUCCAAUACUGUGGAGCAUGGUUCACAAAAGCCAAUGCUACAAUAUAUUUUUAAGGUGCCACAAGAUGCUUUGUUAUAUUAGUUAGACUAAAAGGGUAUGAUAUGUGCCAGAAGCUUAGAAUAGCUAGCAGCCCAUCAGGAGCCAUUAAUCAGGCAUCCAUUGUUCACCAUCAUGUAACAAGUCAUACAAACACCUAGAAAGAGGAGGCUCUCUCCCCACCCUUCUUCCAUACAACCAAGCAGCAUGACAGUAACAAUACUUUUGUACUUUACUCUUUCUGGUCAUAUAAUUCUCUAGCUUCAUGUCAUUGUUUUGAUAGUUAUUUUAGUCAGGGGUGUAGCAAGGUUGUAGUGGACCCAGAGACAAGAUUUUAAAAUGCCCCCCCCCCGAAGCUCAGCUCAUGAAGUAAAGAAAUCUUAAAUGAGGCUGAAUAUAUAUAUCUCCUAUGUGCCACAACAGAACAUCAUCCUAAAUUAUUUUUCAAUUUUUUUUGUCAAUUGUGGACGAUGCAAGUCAUUUAAGGGUACUAGAGAAAGACAUGCUGUUCUGGUAGCUCCAGGUCUUAACGCUCACAUCAGUUUCGGAGGAUGAAUACAACUGAAGGAAGCCCGGGCGGGUGUGCGGCUGAGAGAGUCAGUCAUGUGACUUGCCUCUGGGGGCCCCCCCAAGGCAGUGGGCCCCCAGGCAACUGUCUCCCCUUGCCCUAUUAUAGUUACGCCCCUGAUUUUAGUUAUAUGGCAAUGAAAAAUAGAAGCAGAAAAUAUAACCACAGAAUCAAAGGAUGGGCAACAGCCAGGUAACAUAUGGCAACUUCAUUAAGGUCACCUGCAAAAAUAAUAAUCCCAUGGAUUUGUCCCAGCAGGCAGAGAUUACUCAGCAUACCCACAGCAUCUAGACUCAACACUGUGUUACCAACUGAGUUUAUUCUGCCUACUCCCAGAAGCCUCCCUGGUUGCAACUGUAUCUCGAGGCUUGGAGACUGCACUUUUAUGCUCAGGAGCUGCACCACAAUGUGAGCUCUCUGUUUAUGUUACACAUGGGGACAAGUUGCUUAGUUGGCAGUGGACUGGUCACCCCUAGAUUUGGGCUGCAAGUAACACAAAUUGCAAAAGGGAUUAACUUCAUACACCCUCUCCCUACAUGGGGGCCUGGCUAAGCAGACUCCAGAACUAGCUAUUGCGAGUUAUCGGGCAUCCAAGGUCAUUUUGGACUUAGGAUGAACUCCCCUCAUCCUCUUUCAAGAGAGAUAACACCUGCUGCAAAUGAAGCAGUUAGGCCAGGAAGAUAAAGCAGAUGAAGCAGCAGACUCCCUCAUGAUAAAGAUGAGUCACUGACGUAACUUUGAAAAGGUGUACAUCGAAACUUUUGAUAGAACUAUUGGGAAGCACUUCCCAGCACAGGAUACUUUUGGAGGUACCUGCACACUCCAAUUGUCUUCACAAUCAGCCUUGAAUACAAUAGGUGAUUCACACACCUUCCCACCCAGAAAUGAGGAUCAGGCACAAUGCAUUCCAAGAAGCCUGUACAGGCUUACCCUAUUAAGCAAAGUAUGACAAAAGAAAAGUGCCCUCAAGGCACAUUUUGAGAUAUAAGUAUCCCUAACUCCGUGACCCAGGGUGCUCCCUUGUGCUUCACACUUGGGACUCCAUCAGACUGCAACAAGGACUUCAACAAGACCAUCUUCGUGCUCCCUCAUGUAUUAUACACCUGCAACAAGAACUCCAGCAGACCCACCUUGGUGUGCCCCUCUCUAUUGAGGCCACCUGAGCUGAAAUCACUACCUGGAUUGACCCCUGUACCAAUCCAGCCAGCUUUCCUAGCAGGCGCAGGAAGCCAGGUCCACCUAGAAGCCAUUCUCAUGGGCAUCCCUCCACACUAAUUCCUACAACUCUCCUGCUUUUCACAUCACCUCCCCGAUGUAUGCUAGUCUCCUGUAUUAGAUCUUGAGGACAGAUGAUAUAGCCUUUUGCCCGGCUCCUUCAGGGCUGAAUCUAUCCCUCUCUCUAAUUUCUGAAACCUUAUCCCCCUAUCUUAAAGUAACUCUCUAGCCUACCUGGGAAUUUACACAUAAUUUGGAACUUUAAGCUAAACGUGCCUUAAAAUAGUCAGUUUUUAAACAUAUCUGUAGUACUUUUUAUGCUAGGACUGCAUAGUAACCUAGUCUUAUUGCUUUUGUUUUUCUUACAAUAAACUCCUUUUAUUAAUUAAAACCUCUCGCCCAAGCCAGUUUUCUUGAGUUCAGAUGCUUUCACAUAUUAAAAGUGUUUGGAAAUGUCUUACCCUUUUUGAGCUAAAUUCCCCACAUUCGCCCGAACUGGGGUUGUUGACCAAUCAUCCCCAAGGCAGUUCCAUCAACAACUGGUAAACAGAAGAGCCAUCUUUAACUUUCACUUUUUAACACUUAAGACCUACAAGGGCAUCCAGAGCGGGAGAGAGAGCAAGAGGAGCCAGUUGCCUCCCCUGGAUUGUGUCAGAUUCCACUGAAUUCAAUGGGACAUAUUCCCAGGGAGGGAAUAAUGGAUUUCUGGC